UACAGAGGUCUCAAGCGUUGUUCGGAUUCAUUGGGCGUAAAGGGUGCGUAGGUGGCGCGGUAAGUCGGGUGUGAAAUCUUGGAGCUUAACUCCGAAACUGCAUUCGAUACUGCCGUGCUUGAGGACUGGAGAGGAGACUGGAAUUUACGGUGUAGCGGUGAAAUGCGUAGAUAUCGAUAAGGAAGACCAGUGGCGAAGGCGGGUCUCUGGACAGUUCCUGACGCUGAGGCACGAAGGCCAGGGGAGCAAACGGG
rnacentral:rRNA from 1 species